AAGCCUUAGUGAAUAUCUACA
rnacentral:miRNA from 1 species